UGGGGAAUAUUGCACAAUGGGCGCAAGCCUGAUGCAGCCAUGCCGCGUGUAUGAAGAAGGCCUUCGGGUUGUAAAGUACUUUCAGCGGGGAGGAAGGGAGUAAAGUUAAUACCUUUGCUCAUUGACGUUACCCGCAGAAGAAGCACCGGCUAACUCCGUGCCAGCAGCCGCGGUAAUACGGAGGGUGCAAGCGUUAAGCGGAAUUACUGGGCGUAAAGCGCACGCAGGCGGUUUGUUAAGUCAGAUGUGAAAUCCCCGGGCUCAACCUGGGAACUGAAUCUGAUACUGGCAAGCUUGAGUCUCGUAGAGGGGGGUAGAAUUCCAGGUGUAGCGGUGAAAUGCGUAGAGAUCUGGAGGAAUACCGGUGGCGAAGGCGGCCCCCUGGACGAAGACUGACGCUCAGGUGCGAAAGCGUGGGGAGCAAACAGG
rnacentral:rRNA from 1 species